rnacentral:lncRNA from 1 species
GACAAGGUCUCCAUAAACGUCAGCUUCCAUCCUUCCUCCUCGGCCUGUCCUGCACUGCUCUGGCUCACCUGGAGAUCCGGUGUGCAGAAGUCCCUGCACCCUGCAUGUGAGAUGACCACCAUGCCCUUCCCAGUGCACCAGGUCACACCCAGAGGUCACCUUCUCCCGAAGCCUUCUGGGUCUCCAGGAUGCUCUGGAAGCUCCAACCUGGUGCACUGAAGACACCCCCUGGAAUGAUGGCUCACAGUUCUGCUUCACUUGUGCAACUGAAAACUCCUUGAAGGCCCCCUUCCAUCUUCCUAGGUCUGGU